AUACGGGGGGUGCAAGCGUUGUUCGGAAUCACUGGGCGUAAAGGGCGCGCAGGCGGUUUGGUAAGUCAGAUGUGAAAGCCCACGGCUCAACCGUGGAAGUGCAUUUGAAACUGUCAGACUUGAGUACUGGAGGGGAAAGUGGAAUUCCCGGUGUAGAGGUGAAAUUCGUAGAUAUCGGGAAGAAUACCGGUGGCGAAGGCGACUUUCUGGCUAGAUACUGACGCUGAGGCGCGAAAGCGUGGGGAGCAAACAGGAUUAGAAACCCUAGUAGUCC
rnacentral:rRNA from 1 species